UACUGAAAUAUGUUAAGAUUAGUGCUGC
rnacentral:sRNA from 1 species